AGAGAAUGUUUAAUACACGUCGCAGCCUUUCUGUUUAAAAGGGAGGUGCUUUGUACCGACGUGGUAAGGAGAAGAUGGGAUGAAGAGCAGUCCUCGGUGUUGUGCAAGGAAGGUCUCAAUUAAAAAAAAAAAAACAAAACUCCAUGGAAAAUUGGCAACUAGAUAAAACACAUUCAAUGAACCCACAAGAAACAAAUUGCUAUGGUUGAAAGCCAAAAAAUGACAAAAUCGGACUCUCUGAAGCUUCCUAUAUUGAAAUCAUCAGAGAAAGAGAGAAG
rnacentral:lncRNA from 1 species